rnacentral:rRNA from 1 species
GCAGUGGCGGCGUCUACCAUGCAAGUCGAACGGUAGCACAGAGAGCUUGCUCUCGGGUGACGAGUGGCGGACGGGUGAGUAAUGUCUGGGAAACUGCCUGAUGGAGGGGGAUAACUACUGGAAACGGUAGCUAAUACCGCAUAACGUCGCAAGACCAAAGAGGGGGACCUUCGGGCCUCUUGCCAUCAGAUGUGCCCAGAUGGGAUUAGCUAGUAGGUGGGGUAACGGCUCACCUAGGCGACGAUCCCUAGCUGGUCUGAGAGGAUGACCAGCCACACUGGAACUGAGACACGGUCCAGACUCCUACGGGAGGCAGCAGUGGGGAAUAUUGCACAAUGGGCGCAAGCCUGAUGCAGCCAUGCCGCGUGUAUGAAGAAGGCCUUCGGGUUGUAAAGUACUUUCAGCGGGGAGGAAGGUGUUGUGGUUAAUAACCGCAGCAAUUGACGUUACCCGCAGAAGAAGCACCGGCUAACUCCGUGCCAGCAGCCGCGGUAAUACGGAGGGUGCAAGCGUUAAUCGGAAUUACUGGGCGUAAAGCGCACGCAGGCGGUCUGUCAAGUCGGAUGUGAAAUCCCCGGGCUCAACCUGGGAACUGCAUUC